rnacentral:lncRNA from 1 species
AUGGACCCCAACUUGAGCACAUCCCCACCCAGGGCCCACACGCCCUUGGCAACAGCAUCCGAACACAGGUGCAAACACCGCCCGGCUACCUGCCUCCAGAGGGGCUCUGGACCACGUCCUCACACACAACAACGCCGGGCAUGCUGCAGCUCCUUAAAGCACGAACAAAUACCUCCCAGAAGCAAGCGGCAGCAAGGACACGCGCGCCGAGCACCUACCCCCCACGGUCCUGCUGCUGCACCGACUCGGCUCGUUGCCUGGGUGGGAAACGCGGGCUCCCCUCCCCGUCCCCUUACAGGUGUAACUGCACCUUCCACAAAGGUGGCCGUGCUCGAAAUCCAAGUGAACUUCGGGAGCACCCGAAGGCUUCGGGUCGUGGGCACCGAAGUAUGGGCUCACUUUCCAGAAACUGCAAAAAAAAAAAAAAAAAGAAAAAAAAGAAAUGUGUGGCUUCUUGGCCCUGCGAGCCUCCCCCUCCCGCCCCGUCCUCAAACAGGACCAGCGGGGAGGCAGGCGCGUCCGAAGGGCGGCAAACGCCGCGGUCCCCGGGGGCACAGUCCCCGCGGCCGGCCGGGCGGAGGGAGCCCCGGGCCCCGCGCAGCGCCCGGGAUGCUCGGCGGCCGUCGGGGAGCGGGAGGCGCGGGGAGGCCCCGGGGCGUCGGGGGCGCGGCCCCCAGCCCUCCCCGGCCGCAGGCGCGCUCGCCUUACCUGGCCCGCGGCGGCGGCGGCGGCGGCGGCGGCGGCGGCGGCGGGACCCGGAGGGACCGAGCGAGGGAGCGAGCGAGGGAGGGAGGCGCCGCGGAGGAGGAGCUCGGCCGGGAGCGGGCGGGCCGCUUUGUUUCCACUGCGCCGAGCCGCCGACCCUGCGUCACCAUGGCAACCGCCGGGGACCCGGCGGGCGGGGGGCGGGGACCCCCACUCCCGGGUGCGCAGGGGCCCGGGCGCGCGGGGCCGCCACGGCAGUCCCGGGCUCCGAGGGGACCAGCCCCCCCAGGAGCGGCCGCACACACGCCCCCUCGCCCGCUCCGCACCGCGCGUCGGGCUCGCCCCAGCAGGGGGCAGCGGCCGGGCCGCGAGCCGGGGCCAGUUCCUAGUUCCACCCCGGCCGGCACCCCCGCCCCGCCCUGGACCUUCCGGCACCCCCACCCCCCACCACACCUUUCCUCUACGGAGCUCUUCCCUCAAAAUGGAAAUUCACCGGAGAGAGAAGAAAGAGCAGUGCAAACUGAUAAAGUGUUGAGCAACUGGCUGCGUUGUGAAUCCCAGCGGCUGCCGCUGCUGCGCAUCCUCCCGUGAGCCUACUCUGUGCCAGCAGCCUGCCAGGCGCUACAGACCCAGACCGUGUACGGCCCUUCCCAGAAGAGAGUGGCGAGGCUGACCUUGGCACAUGGCUAGGCGUCCCUUCUUAAGGAAAUUCUUGGAGAGGGAGGAAAAAUACUAGCAGACCCACCGUCAAGCUGCCUCUAAAGGACAGAGCUACAGAACAGCUACCGUGGGGUGAGUGAGUCAUCACCCCAUCCUAGGUCUUCUUGAAAGAUGAGCUACAGAAUCCAGAACCCACAGUCGUCUUCGUGUAGACCCUGGGGAGCAUGGCAUUUAUUUUCUGGCAUUUGUGAAUCACCAAAGGAAUGUCAAUAACUUAAAAAAAAAUCCACGGUAACUGACAUUUUCUGGGUUCGCUACCUGUAAGCCAUAAAGCAGAACACUGUUAUUACCAACUGAAGCCGUACAUAUUAAUCAAGGAAAAUAUAACAUCCAUUUUAUGGUGGAGAAUAGAAACAGCUUGCUCCUCAGGAAGGCUGGCCAGUUUCCUGUAACAGGAACAUUGGUACUUCCAGAUGAAGUCAAGAGACAAGGUCUUCCCGACAGACUGUUAAGCAGUUUGGCAGUAUUUGUCAAAAUUUAAUGCACAGGGGCGCCAGGGUGGCUCAGUCGGUUGCACGUGGGACUCUAGGUUUCCACUCGGGUUGUGAUCUUAGGGUCGUGAUCUCAGGGUCGUAAGAUCAAGCCCCAAGACAGGCUCUGAGCUCAAUGUGGAGUCGGCUUGUCCCUCCCCACCCCACAGCCCUCCUCUCCCUCUCUCUCUCACUCAAAAAUAAAUUCCUUAAGAAAAAAAAUUUUAAGAUGUACAUACCUUUCACCCUGCGAUCUCAAUUCUUAGAAAUCUGUUGUGCACAAAUACACAAGUGUGCAAUUACAGAUGGACAAGGAUGUGCCAUGCAGCAGUUUUGUAAUAGAAAUUUGAAGCAG